rnacentral:misc_RNA from 1 species
GAGAAACCAUUUUCAGCAGCUUUGCUCUUGAGAACAAAAACCGGUAGAGGAUUCUGGACACGUACUGACAUGGCAAAGAGAGAUGUCACUCCAGUGUCUCAUUGGUGCUAUCCGUCAAGACUUGAAAUGAAACGUUUGCGUUAUUUCUCUCCUUGAGAAUUCCCAGUUGUCUUUCAUCGUCAUCAACUUGAGGCACAUUGCCCAAUGUGUACAUCAGCUUGAAGAGGUUCCUCACUCAGUUUCUUAUCACAAUGUGUAUCGGACGGGUUUUAUUUUCCAGAUCAACACAAGCAUGACAACCACGUACAACUUGGAUAACAUUACGUAUAUCGUUUAUCUGGAAUCCGGGAUGGAAUGGAACGAUUCGUAUACAGCUACAAACCUUUCUCUAAAUGACACAUCUUCUCGAGAAAGUUACACAACAGAACAUCAAGUUAGUCCUGUGGAACUGGAUGAUCCUUGGGGAGGAUCUCCAUAUCCGAGUGGUUACUCCCGUAUUAACAUUAUACUAAUUGCCCUCAUCGUCACUUGUGUUAUGGUUAUAAUUGUGGUCGGAAAUAUGCUUGUCUGUAUAGCAAUCGCAACAGAAAAGUCGUUAAAAACUGUCCAGAACUGGUUCAUUGCCUCGCUUGCGGUUUCGGACUUUCUUGUUGGAUUGGUAGUUAUGCCUUUUUCGCUGGCCAAUGAGUUGAUGGGCUACUGGAUUUUCGGACAUAUUUGGUGCGACAUUCAUGCUGCGCUUGAUGUUCUUCUCUGCACAGCGUCAAUAAAUAAUCUGUGUCUUAUUAGUCUAGAUAGGUAUUGGUCAGUGACCCACGCUGUGGAAUACCUGAAGAAGCGGACUCCGACACGAGCGAUCGCUAUGAUUUGCUUCGUGUGGCUUCUGUCAGCUCUCAUAUCUCUGCCACCGUUGGUGGGAUGGAAGAAGUCAGACAGACCAACAGACUACCCCGAGUGCAAAGUCAGUGAAGAAAUCGGGUACGUUUUGUAUUCUGCCUUGGGCUCGUUUUACAUUCCAGCUGCAGUAAUGGUAUUCGUGUACAUACGGAUAUUUUUUGCCGCGCGUUCUCGUGCUAGACGUCAUGUGAAAAAGAAAACUCAACCGGAAGUGACGAACGAUCCAGGAAGGGAUAAGUCAACAACUACGACAACAACUACGUGCACCAGCUUCAGUAACCCUAGCCCCCCAGAGAAGGGGAAGGAUACGGAAGGAAACUCGUUCUUCGAGAAACUCAAGACAAAUGGAAGCAGUGAGACGUACGCCAAGCACUCCAAACUUUUACCCAAAAUGCCUCAGAUUAUAAUCGAGAAUUCUGCAGAAGAACAGGAACAUUCCGAAGAUGACCAGGCAGCAACAGAAGAUGAAAACAGGCAAGGAACUCUGGAUCCUUCUAGUCAAACUGUUAGCGGUAGCAGUGAAUCCAUGACUGACGAAGAAAAACCUUUCGGUUCGGCUUACAAAGUACAGACCAUCUCCAAGACAGAUUUGGAGGCGGGCUCGUAUUCUUUACUUUUAAAAACUCCAAAAGGCUUGAAAGCGUCUUUUGGCUCCACCAUUUCCUUGGCGGAUUAUGGAAAAGACGAAGAUGCUAAUGAACUUUAUGAAACAAAAAACAUUUUCAAGAGAGGUAAAAACACCAGCGGGAAAUGCACAUUCAACGAGCCUACUCGAUGCUACACCUCUGCUGUAGAGAGACAGAAACGCAAGAUCGCCAAGGCGAGAGAAAGGAGGGCAACAGUUAUUUUGGGACUAAUUAUGAUAGCUUUUAUAUUAGCCUGGCUUCCGUUCUUCGUUCUUUACGUAUUGUCUGCUAUUUGUAAACAGUGUAAAAUUAGUGAUUUUGGAUUUGGUGUUGCUUUCUGGUUAGGGUAUUUGAACUCUGCUAUUAAUCCUAUCAUCUAUACUAUCUUUAAUCGGGACUUUAGGAAAGCUUUCCGAAAGAUCUUGUUCAAGUAAAAAAUUCACGAUAAUAAGUUAAAUGUUGUGUCUAAUUUUAUCUUACGUACUUUUUUUAAAGGAAGUGCCUCCAGUGUAUGAACUUGAAAUUCUCGGGUUAGCCUGAAACAUUUACUGGGAAACCAGAUUCUUAUCCUUACCAGAUUCGUAUUUUCACUAUUUUAUCGUUAAUGUGGUAUUCCAAUUCGUUGUUAUCGUCUAUAUAUAUAUAUAACCUUAUUGCACCUAUAAUAAUGUAUAUUAUAUUUAUAUAAUAUAUGUGUGUGUGUGUGUGUGUGUUACUUCCAAAAAUUUCUUCACGUACUGGGUUAAUUUAUGCCUUACAUUAAAGAUACACUGUACUAGUUAUUGUCAGUGUUGUAAACGGUAACAAUAGGAAUAGUAUAGGGAUUCAGUUAGGAUGUUUUCAUUGUUGGAUUUCAGGAUGAGUUGAAAGGACAGUCUCUCGAAAAGAUGGACAAAGUUUUAACACUCUUGUGUUAAUCUUCAAGUCCAAAGAGUGCUGAUAUGUCGUCGUUUUCAAGCACAAUGCAGAAGAGGUAUUAAUUUAUCACACUGAUCUUAAUGUCUGCAACUCAACUCACAGAAGAGGUAUUAAUUUAUCACACUGAUCUUAAUGUCUGCAACUCAACUCGUGUCUUGAGUACCAUUCCUUUCCUCAACGCUUUUCAUUUUCACACACGACAAUAUUUGUAAUUUCUCAAACUCACAACAGUCUUUAAUAAAAGCUAAAUCACUUGUAACACUUAUUAUUUGUAGUAAUAGUAGUAGGUGUAAUACCCUACCACCACUAGGAGUUCAAUUUGAACAAUGGUCUCAGCUCACUUCCAUGGCUCGACCUACUGGGUUGGGCACAGGACUCGCGAGGCGCUGGUUCGAAACCCAUCACCAAAAAUGCUCGCCCUUUCAGCUGUGUGGGCGUUAUAAUAUGACUGUUAAUUGCACUAUUUAUUG